rnacentral:rRNA from 1 species
UUUACUCCUACGGGAGGCAGCAGUGGGGAAUAUUGCACAAUGGGCGCAAGCCUGAUGCAGCGACGCCGCGUGAGGGAUGACGGCCUUCGGGUUGUAAACCUCUUUCAGUAGGGAAGAAGCGAAAGUGACGGUACCUGCAGAAGAAGCGCCGGCUAACUACGUGCCAGCAGCCGCGGUAAUACGUAGGGCGCAAGCGUUAUCCGGAUUUAUUGGGCGUAAAGAGCUCGUAGGCGGUUUGUCGCGUCUGCCGUGAAAGUCCGAGGCUCAACCUCGGAUCUGCGGUGGGUACGGGCAGACUAGAGUGAUGUAGGGGAGACUGGAAUUCCUGGUGUAGCGGUGAAAUGCGCAGAUAUCAGGAGGAACACCGAUGGCGAAGGCAGGUCUCUGGGCAUUUACUGACGCUGAGGAGCGAAAGCAUGGGGAGCGAACAGGAUUAGAUACCCUGGUAGUCCAUGCCGUAAACGUUGGGCACUAGGUGUGGGGGACAUUCCACGUUUUCCGCGCCGUAGCUAACGCAUUAAGUGCCCCGCCUGGGGAGUACGGCCGCAAGGCUAAAACUCAAAGGAAUUGACGGGGGCCCGCACAAGCGGCGGAGCAUGCGGAUUAAUUCGAUGCAACGCGAAGAACCUUACCAAGGCUUGACAUGUGCCAGACCGCUCCAGAGAUGGGGUUCCCUUUG